AGUAGAUGAGAGAUAAGUGAAUGUGGACAAACCUGUCACGUAGGACGAGGUGGCCGAGUGGUUAAGGCGAUGGACUGCUAAUCCAUUGUGCUUUGCACGCGUGGGUUCGAAUCCCAUCCUCGUCGGCCCUGUUUUAUAGAGGUUGGGGGGGAAGCAUCUACAUUUUCACAUCCUGCCUAUUUGGAGCAGCAAGCUGGAGGUGCGAGGGGUGAGGCAUCUAAAUUUUCACAUCCUGCCUGUGGAGCAGCAAGCUGAAGAAAACUGAACUGGGGCCCAGAGCAAAAACACACACUGAGUACCUGGUCUCUGCCAGGAACUGUGUUAGGCACGAGGGAUGGGCCUUGGAGGAGACACAGAUUGAAGGUGGCGGGUUCCUGUAGUC
rnacentral:tRNA from 1 species